UACGUAGGGGGCGAGCGUUGUCCGGAUUUAUUGGGCGUAAAGAGCUCGUAGGCGGUUUGGCAAGUCGGGUGUGAAAACUCCGGGCUCAACUCGGAGACGCCACUCGAUACUGCUAUGACUCGAGUCCGGUAGGGGAGUGCGGAAUUCCUGGUGUAGCGGUGAAAUGCGCAGAUAUCAGGAGGAACACCGAUGGCGAAGGCAGGUCUCUGGGCAUUAACUGACGCUGAGGAGCGAAAGCAUGGGGAGCGAACAGG
rnacentral:rRNA from 1 species